GACGAACGCUGGCGGCGUGCCUAACACAUGCAAGUCGAGCGAGUGGAUCUCCUUCGGGAGUGAAGCUAGCGGCGGACGGGUGAGUAACACGUGGGCAACCUGCCUCAUAGAGGGGAAUAGCCUUUCGAAAGGAAGAUUAAUACCGCAUAAGAUUGUAGCUUCGCAUGAAGUAGCAAUUAUAGGAGCAAUCCGCUAUGAGAUGGGCCCGCGGCGCAUUAGCUAGUUGGUGAGGUAACGGCUCACCAAGGCGACGAUGCGUAGCCGACCUGAGAGGGUGAUCGGCCACAUUGGGACUGAGACACGGCCCAGACUCCUACGGGAGGCAGCAGUGGGGAAUAUUGCACAAUGGGGGAAACCCUGAUGCAGCAACGCCGCGUGAGUGAUGACGGCCUUCGGGUUGUAAAGCUCUGUCUUCAGGGACGAUAAUGACGGUACCUGAGGAGGAAGCCACGGCUAACUACGUGCCAGCCGCCGCCGUAA
rnacentral:rRNA from 1 species